rnacentral:rRNA from 1 species
AACUUUCAACAACGGAUCUCUUGGUUUUCGCAUCGAUGAAGAACGCAGCGAAAUGCGAUAAGUAAUGUGAAUUGCAGAAUUCAGUGAAUCAUCGAAUCUUUGAACGCACAUUGCGCCCUCUGGUAUUCCGGAGGGCAUGCCCGUUCGAGCGUCAUU